UCCUAUGUAUACUAAGGAUUGAACAAGCAGAGAAAUAUAAGAAUGUGAACAACCUAUUUGAAUUGAAAUAACUUAAUUGAACUAUAUCAAAUUUAUUAAUGAUUAACUAACUAAGACAUGCUAUGCUUUUAGAACAAGAAAACCGAAAUAGCAUGGUAUCACUACUACGUCAUAAUUCUUUUAAGCAACAAGAAAAUCCACAAUUUAAACUAUUACAGCUUAGUGCUCAAUUAUACAUGACAUCAAAUUACAUGAUUCUAGUAAAAGAUACUAAUUAACCUAUAUACCAUUUAAGAUACGAAACAACUAAAUGAAUAUAGAACUUUAAAACUUCCUUUUUCAUUCAUGCUUCGAAUUUCAGCUACAUCGAACCAGUGUAUCAGAUAUAUGUACCUGGUAUUUGGAAAUGCCAAAAAGGAAGAAGGGAGUCAGUAGUGCAAUAGCACAAACCCAGCAACAACACAAGUUCAACAACACAGCAGAACCAAUAGCAAAUGGCGUCAAAGAUCCCAGAACAGAUUUGAAGUUAAACAAGCACAAACCAGGACUUUAAAACAGAAAACCAAAAGAAAUAGCCUAGGAAGACCAACGUAACAGUAUUUGAAGGCUAACAGAGUUCCAAAAACACCACACUGAAAUCCAGGAAAAACACUAAGCAAUACUUGAGAAACCAACUGAAGAACUCAGCUAUCAAUUGGAUACUAGCAAUACCAGAAUGUGCUCGGAAUCACAGUAGGAAAGGAACUGGUUGCGAGGAAACAAUAACUUCUGAUAUUUCACCCUCAAGAAGAACAUACAACCUGAAUAUAAGUUCAACUUUCAAUCUAUAUUUUAUUCAAUAUGCUCUCUUAAAAUCUUUCUGAUUUUCCAAAACUGAAUGAAAGAAAGAAUGGAAACAGUGGUUUCUUCUUCUGUUUUGAAUCUCUCUUUUCUAAUUUUUCAAAAGACUUCUAAAACUGAUCGCUCAAAAUUUUUGUCUUUCUGAUUUUUCAAAAAAAGACUUCAAAACUCUAUUUAAACACUCAAAAGUUGCUACUCACAACCGUUCUCUCAAUUCUUUUCGACUGCCUUCUCCUCCUUUUUUUCUGUGUGUAUCCCUGUAUUUAAAGACUAAGGUUUAACCCUUUUUUAAUUCAAAGAUUCCACUUUUUCUCCGUUUUAUUCCCUCCCGUGUGCAUUUAUACCCUUUUAUCAUUAACCACAUACUACUUCUGAUUUCCAGCCCUUAAAAGCACUAUGCUUUUCAACAUUUUCAGAAUGUCUUAAUAUCUUUUCAGUUUGUUUUAGUCUAAUACCCGGGUUAUUCCCUGAUUUUCCAUUAUUGAAUGUUUUGUUCAUUUGUUUAAUUGAAAGUUGAUAGACAUCCUAUUGUUUUUCAGUCCUUCAAGUUAUUAAACAAUAAAUGGGCAUGGUGCAGCCUGAAUAUUAAAUUCAGGCGUGCCUGACAGCACAUGUCCUCACACUUCAUCAUAAUUUCAAAUCACAGUCCAUUAAUCCCUAUGUACAUUUAAUCCUAGCCCUCCCUUUAAUCUGAUAGAUUAACAAAUGUGAAACAGAUUCAUAUAACCAAUUCAACUUAAAUUCAACUGUAGACCACUCAGAUUUUAAGUCAAACAAUAGUCUGGACCAAAUUAAACAGUAUCAAUAUCACUACUAUCAACAUUAAUCUAACAAUCAAGCCUAUACAGCUAAUCGACGACAUUUAUUAAAUCGAUUAAAAUGCAUAUAAUCGAUAACAAAUAAUCAACACAAAACAAUGCGAUUCACAGCAUUCUGACAAACAGGGGAAAUACGAAACUAAAUAUUCGACGAUAUUAAUCGAAUCGAAUAUAUAUUCUAUAACAGUCACAAACAAAAACAAACAGAAUAAAAUUGACCAAAUAAAAGGUCUUUGAUUUGGAGAAGAAGAGAAGGAAAACAAACAAGAAAACUUAAAGUAAAAAAUCCUUUCAGCCAUGAAUAACAAGAUUGAACCACGAAAAUGAAAAAUGCAUUACCUCCAAAAGAAAUCAGAAGUAAAUGUCUUCAGGGUUUGAGCUCGGGUUGAGCAUUUUGAGGUCGAACAGAGUUUAAUCGAAGUGUUCUCAACUGAGAACACCUCAAUGAAAUUCUAUUAGACCCUACACCCUAAUUGAUUGGACAGAAUCCUUCAUCUGGUUUUCUUAGGGUUGUUGAGGGCUCGGAUUGGGGUUCGAGGAGUUAGGACUUGAUUGGAACCAAACCAGCUAUGUUUUGAUGACGAGGGAGGCUAGGGAAGUGUUUGGGAUGAGUUUGGGGCCGGUUGGGAUGGUUUGACUUGAAGAUUCGAGUAGCUACAACAUGAUUCGAACUAAACGGGGCUUGGGUUCGUGGAGAGGGGAGUUAGGAGGUUCAGGGGUGUUGAUUCGGUGGUGAAAUGAGCCGGCACCGCUGGGUUCUCAGGCGAUGGGAGGGGUGGCGGCUAGGGUUCUUGGGGUGUGUUUGAGUCUCUUGAGAGAGACGAAGGAGAUGAUGGGGUGUGUAAAUGAAGCGGGUUGAGGGUGUGGGGGGGUGUUUGGUAUAUUAAAGUGUAUCAACUAAUUUGAGCCGUUUGAUCACAUGAUCU
rnacentral:lncRNA from 1 species